rnacentral:rRNA from 1 species
AUUUACCUACGGGGGGCAGCAGUGGGGAAUAUUGGACAAUGGGGGGAACCCUGAUCCAGCGACGCCGCGUGAGUGAAGAAGUAUUUCGGUAUGUAAAGCUCUAUCAGCAGGGAAGAAAGAAAUGACGGUACCUGACCAAGAAGCCCCGGCUAACUACGUGCCAGCAGCCGCGGUAAUACGUAGGGGGCAAGCGUUAUCCGGAUUUACUGGGUGUAAAGGGAGCGUAGACGGCAUGGCAAGCCAGAUGUGAAAUACCGGGGCUCAACCCCGGGACUGCAUUUGGAACUGUUAAG